rnacentral:rRNA from 1 species
UACGUAGGAGGCGAGCGUUGUCCGGAAUUAUUGGGCGUAAAGAGCUCGUAGGCGGUUUGUCGCGUCUGCUGUGAAAACUCGGGGCUUAACCCCGGGCCUGCAGUGGGUACGGGCAGACUAGAGUGCGGUAGGGGAGACUGGAAUUCCUGGUGUAGCGGUGAAAUGCGCAGAUAUCAGGAGGACACCGGUGGCGAAGGCGGGUCUCUGGGCCGUAACUGACGCUGGAGGAAGCGGAAGCAUAGGGAGC